GGCCCUGUGGCGGAAUUGGUAGACGCGCUUGAUUCAAAAUCAAGUUUCUUUUAGGAGUGCGAGUUCAAGUCUCGCUGGGGCCACCA
rnacentral:tRNA from 1 species